CAGGGUUUAGCUCAGUGGUAGAGUACUUGCCUAUCAUGCAUAAGCCUUGGGUUCAAGUCCCAGAACUGA
rfam:Cricetulus griseus cell line CHO-K1, whole genome shotgun sequence.